GGAGGAUCCGAGCGUUAUCCGGAUUUAUUGGGUUUAAAGGGAGCGUAGGUGGACUGGUAAGUCAGUUGUGAAAGUUUGCGGCUCAACCGUAAAAUUGCAGUUGAUACUGUCAGUCUUGAGUACAGUAGAGGUGGGCGGAAUUCCUGGGGUACCGGUGAAAUGCUUAAAUAUCACGAAAAGCUCCAAUUGCAAAGGCAGCUCACUGGACUGCAACUGACACUGAUGCUCAAAAGGGUGGGUAUCAAACAGGAUUAAAUACCCGGGUAGUCCACACGGUAAACGAUGAAUACUCACUGUUUGCGAUAUACAGUAAGCGGCCAAGCCAAAGCAUUAAGUAUUCCACCUGGGGAGUACGCCGGCAACGGUG
rnacentral:rRNA from 1 species